rnacentral:rRNA from 1 species
GACGAACGCUGGCGGCGUGCUUAACACAUGCGAGUCGAACGGAAAGGCCCCUUUGGGGGUACUCGAGUGGCGAACGGGUGAGUAACACGUGAGUAACCUGCCCUUGACUUCGGGAUAACUUCAGGAAACUGGGGCUAAUACCGGAUAGGAAUCCUUGCUGCAUGGUGGGGGUUGGAAAGCUUCGGCGGUUUUGGAUGGACUCGCGGCUGAUCAGCUUGUUGGUGGGGUAGUGGCUUACCAAGGCUUUGACGGGUAGCCGGCCUGAGAGGGCGACCGGCCACAUUGGGACUGAGAUACGGCCCAGACUCCUACGGGAGGCAGCAGUGGGGAAUAUUGCACAAUGGGCGGAAGCCUGAUGCAGCAACGCCGCGUGCGGGAUGACGGCCUUCGGGUUGUAAACCGCUUUCAGCAGGGGCGAAGCUUGUGGUGACGGUACCUGCAGAAGAAGCACCGGCUAACUACGUG